AGAAGGAAGAGAGCGGCAGGAGGUAACGCCAAACAGUCACCAGCCACGGUCUUCUUUUGGCAACAUGAGUUCAAAAAGAAGAUCAAAACAUAAAGAAUGUGUUUCACAGAACAAAAUGUAGAUGUAGAUGAGGCUGAACAGUGAUGUCAGAGAAAACUGCACUUGAUUCUUCACCUUGCCAUCAAGAUGUGUUUCAAGACGAUCCUUUCUGAGGAGUACUGUUAUGGAAAUGCUGAACAACUUAAAAGGAAGAAUAAAGAGGCAAUGUGCAGGAUGUGCUGCUCUCGGGUCUUUAUGCCAGUUGCUGUUGAUUUCAGAACUACAGUGCCAAAUUAAAAGACUAUUGUGG
ensembl:lincRNA